rnacentral:lncRNA from 1 species
AACUUUAACAUUAAAUAUCUCAAGUGGAACACAAACAAUGUUUGCCCUAGCAGAGCGUUCUCUCUGAGCAAAAGAUUAUCAACUUUUUCGAAAUCUUACGUGAAAUAUAGAAGGAGAAUGAAGAAUUCAUCUACAUAGUCAUACAGUGUCUUUAUUUAUUAUAGUAGGUAAUUAUGAUUACACCAUGAUAUUAUUGUUUUCCAUUUCUUAUAUGAGUUCAUGAUGGCAAACAUAGUUGCAUAAUAUAAUAAUACAUAUGAUCUUUUCAUUGAAAUCAACUGGGAACAACAUCUGGAUCUAUAUCGUACUCAAUAGUGCAUUGACAAGAUAAAUUAAUGCACUUCAGAGUUAGAUCAGUUGGACACAUAUCUGGUGGACAUUCAGGGGUAAAUAGGCAUGGAGGAGCAUCUGGGAGGCCUAACAAGAACAAAAUAAAUGUUAAUAUAGGUGAUGGAAUAUUAUAUAUAAGUUAAAUUAUAAAUUUGAAAAUGAUAUGAAACAUUACUCACUUCCAUUGGUUGUGACCAGAAAUAGGGAAACAAAGAUGAGCAAAGCAUAAAAGAAACUUAGGAUUCGAGCCAUAAUUUUUUCUCUUUUGCAUGUGAUAAAUGGAAAAUAUUUUGAUCAAUUUAUAAAGAAAAGGUAAUGCUUUGUUAACUUCAAUGAAAUAGUUUUUAACCCUAGAAGGUGCAAGAAGUCGUUCAAAAAAUUGAAAUAGUUGGUAAAUGUUUCUAUAGAUGUGUCGUGUGUAUCUCUUUGCAAGCUCAGUUAGUCACUUAAUUUUAGUAAAUAUAUCAUAUAAGAAUCUUAAUAAUAAUCAAAGUUCAUUAAUUUUUUUCAUUAAACUUUUAAUAAAAUUUUUUUAUUUCUCUUUUAGCUUUUUAUGGUAGAUAAGAGACACAUAAAUCUUUUGGUGGAAAUAAAAAUGUAAAGAAAUAGACAGAUAUAAAAAUUUAAACACUAGUGACGAAUGACGCAAAACUUCAUAAACAGGGUUUUAUCAGCCAAAUUCGCAAAAAAAAAUUGGGUCGUUCUAAGCAAAUUCACAAUAAUCAAAGCAAAUAUGAUUACACUAGGUGAGAUUGAUGGUUAUAAUUGUGAUUCUUUAAAAAUUAAAGCAAAAAUAACAGUCACAGGAAAGAGGGUUACAAUUGUCACUCUUUAAAAAUUGGAUCUUGCACUUUGUUAAAAUAUUUCUCAAUAUAAAACAAUACGCUUAGGUGUAUGUGUAGUUUGAUUUGCAAGAGCAAAGAGUAUACUUGAAGAAAUAACACACAAAAAUUAUGAUGGUUAUUUAAUGUGGGCUAGUUUUUUGUUGUACAAGGCUAAAACAGAUAAGAAAAUUUCUGCCACAUCAUUUUGGAGGAGAUUUUUGAGGUUCAUUAGAGGAGACUCAUGUCGAAGAAAUUCAACAUCAGAAGAGGCACGAAGCUUUGCAAAAAAAUCUGCACAUUGAUUCUCUUCCCUAAGGGUGUGAUUAACCAUAACAUUUCCCUGCUCCAAUAACACUUUUAUAUCUUGGAUUAAAACAGAAUAAGCAUGAAACCUCAUUGGGGGGACCAUUGAGGAUGUUGAUACAAUGUAAAGCAUCAGAGUAGCAAACAAAAUCAAGAAUACCCAUAUAUUUGGCCAACAAGAGACCUUUAUAGAUAGCAUAGAGCUCAUCAUACAAGAUCAGAUGAAUUUUGAAUGUAUCCAGAAAAGCCUAACAAGAAAAAACCUGCAUAGUUUCUUAAAAUUCCUCCAUAGCCAGCUCUUACUGGAGAUCCAAGACAACUUCCAUCAACAUUAAGGUUGACACAAGAAUGAUUAUUGUUGGUCCACUUGAUGAAUUGUCUUCAUAGAUAGUAUUAGAGAUGGAAGUAUAACAAGCUUUGAGGGUAUCAACCAUGCCUUGAAUGUUGAAGGAUAAUUUAGCAUUUGACCAAUUCUCAUUGCCUAAGCACAUCAUGUUUCGAUUCCUCCAAGCCCACCAUAAUAUGGGCUAGUAUAGUCUUCGCAACUGUGAGAUUUCACUAUAGUAUUUAGAUAGAUGUUUUUUCUAUCAUGUGCAAUAGACAAUAAUUACAUCAAAGUUUCACCGGAAAUGAUACUGACAGCAAAACGGUUAACCAAUACCCAAACAACAAAAGGGGUUAUGGCACCAAUCAUGAAAAUUAUAAUAAAAUGUAACAGAAUAAGCUUUAGACAUGAGAAGAAAAGUAGCUUGAUAUUUUCCAAAAGCUGAGAUGGAGUGCUUUUUUUUUUUUUUUUUGCACGGAAAAUUCUAGCGUUCCCUUCCUUCCAAAUUAGUCAAGUGCUUGCAAACUUAAGUACAUAAAGGAGCACCGAGCUUUAGAGAUACCUGAAGAAAUAUUGAUCUGAAGAUAAUGAGCUGAUAUGGUUAAAGGGUUAACCGAAGAAACACCUAACCAAAGAUGAACCAACUGCCAAACCUGACCAAAUACUUCGCAAUGCAAGAAUAACUGAUCCGCUGAUUCAAUAUUUCCACAACCAGAGACACAAACUGAGCAUCUUCCUGAAUAAUCCUUCUCCGAUAUAAAUUGUCCUUCAUAGGCACUCUAUCACGGAGAAGCCGCCAAGCAAAGACUGAAACUUUAAGCAGGACAUUUUACCUCCAGAUGCUAGGCGCAGAAGCUGAUGUAGCAGAAGGCAUGGUUGCAAACUCAGCCAACAGAGAAUGGUAAACACCACGCACCGUAUAACUUGCUACUAAAUCAGGAAUCCAAUACAAGACAUCAUUAAUAUUAACCUGCAACACAACAAUUAGUAACAACAAUGUACACUCCACUAACUGCUCCUCCUCCCAGGCCCUCAAUCCCCUUCUCCACUUCCACGCCUCCCCUCCCUCGUCCCACCCCAGCUGGAACAUUUGCGCAGCAAUUAAAAAUUUAUUUUCAGACAAAUCAAAUAACCGAUGAAAACGAACCUGCAAGGGAACCUCACCUACCCACCUAUCAAACCAAAAUAAAGUACCUGCACAAUUUCCGACCUUUAAACAAACAUUAGAAAACCAAGUACCCACCAUCGAACCAACACCAUCCCGCAUAUUAGCAAUUUCCUUCCACCACGUCGACCCAUCCCUUCCGCCUGCCUGAACUCGGCCCUCCACUAGCCCAUACCUAGCGGCGAAGACAUUAUAUCAUAAGCCAUGUGAAGGUGAAAAACACAAGAAGGGGGGGGGGGUUGAAUUGUGUUUUCUUUUUCUCUUAAAAAGGGAUUCUUCUUCUGAUAAAACUUCAGAAGCAGUUUGAUUGCUUCUGAUGAAAUGAUCAGAGUCAGAUUGCAGCGGAAAAGAACAGAGCAGAGAAAAGAAAGACAAAGACACAAGCAGUUAUCCUGGUUCCUUCCACAACACGGAAGUAGUCCAGUCCCCCUUGCACUUCCAAGGAGAUUUCACUAUAAUCACAAAGAUUACAACUGCUCAAUACUUUCUAAGUAUGAGACUUCACAAAAAUGCUCAAGCACACACGCAAGAGUCUUCCAAUGCUCAAGCACUAAGCAAGAGACUUCUAAUGCUCAAGCACGCAGGCAAGAGACUUCUAAUCAAACAAAAAUACAGAGAAUUGAGUUUGAAUUGAACACUUGAUAUACAAUCAGUGGUGUUCACAAUGCAAUACAGAAAAGACUCUAGACUUUGAAUUUCUAAGAUGUAUCAAAUCAGUGCAGAAAUUCAGUGUGCUUUGUAGAAUCAAAUUGACAGAGUUUUGGCGCUUUUGAACUUAUGUAUCUCUCUCUGUUAUCUUCAAGUCUUCACUCCUUUAUAUAGAGGCGUGAAAGAGACGUUGAGAUAAUCAGCACGUCUAAAGAGUCGUUUGAAAUCCUUUGAUUAUCCACCAGUGAUCCUUUGCCUGAUUUGGGUGUAGUCCUUUGAAGAAUAAACUUCAAAUUCAUUCCCAUCUUGAGUGUACAAUUCUGCAGGCAUGGCUGUUGUUUUGUCUUGUAGCGUAGACAGAAAACAGAGUAGUGGAGGUAGUGGUUGUACACUUGUACUUUGUCAACUCUAUUAACGAGAGACAAGAGCUCAGUGCUAUCCAUAUAUCCGUUGAUACCUCCCUUUCAAUUCUUCGUUCUUCUUUGAUAAGACUGAAUUGAAAAUCAGCUACUUUGAAUCUUCAGUUUGAUUAAAGGAUCAAAUGUAGCUUCUGGUGAAGAUAUUGCUUCUGAUGAAAACUUUUGCUUCUGAUGACUUUCUGCUUCUGAUGACGUCAUCUCUUCAGGAGCAGUUUAGCUUCAGGAGCAGUUUUCUUCAGAUGCUCAGAAUUUCUUUUUCUUUCCAUUGUUCUUCCAAGACCUAUUGAAAUAACUUGAGUAGCCUUUGGUCCUGUACACUUGAACAAUUAUUAGUAAUAACCAAUUGACAAUUUUUAAUACCUUGUUAUCAUCAAAACUUAAUAAGGUUCAUUGUGAAACACAUUUUGUUCCAACAAUCUCCCCCUUUUUGAUGAUGACAAACAAUAGUAUUUAAAAUGUUCAAUUGUUGUUGAUCUAAUUAAUAAGUUGACUACUGGGACAGAGGUUUGUAAGCUCCCCCUGAGUCUAAUAGAUCUUUAAGGUGAGGUUUGUAAGCUCCCCCUAAGUUCUAUUCUUAUUAAUUAAAUUUCAAUAAAAUACUUAUAAAAUCAAAUCAGAAGUAUUUAAAAGAAAUUUAGAGUAGGGCUCAGUGCCUUAAAAAAUACUAUACAUUUACUCCCCCUUUUGUCAUCAACAAAAAGAAUAGAAACAAAAGAAAGAGUAUCAGAGCAAACAGCAUUAAAAACAGUAAAUAUCAUCAGAGUUAAAGCUUGUAAAACAUAUUGAAGGUGAAAAAGCACAAGAUCCAGAAACAAUGAUAAUAUAUAUAAAGAAAGAUUAAGAUACAAAGACACAGCUACUAAGAACAAAAGUAAAAAACAAGCUAGAGUUGGGUGUGCAACUAAGGUUGGGCUUGCUUAUACAACUGUUCUAAGAGAUACUUGAUCUGAUCAUCCUUCUUCUGAAGUAGCUCAUCCUUUUCCCUCAUUCUUCGUUUAUAUCCAGCCUGAAUUCUAGCAGCCCUAGUGAUGUACUCUUCUUCUGGAUAGAAAGGAGUGAUGUCCAGCAGAGGCACAAAGUUCAGCUCUUUCUCCUUAGCUGCUUCAUGCAUGUCAUCCAAAAGCUUCUUCAGCAUAGCAGAGUGAGAUGACACACAUUUAGUUCUAAGCUGAUCCAGCAGCUCAUCAAAGCUCUUCUGAAGAUCCAUCCACUGAUCAUAAUAGUGAAUAGGAGGUGCAGGAACUGUUCUGCGAAGAAUCAGUGCCUGAAUCUCAUCACUAAGUCUAAUCAGCUGUUCCUCUAUAUACUCAGACUCCAGGAUAUGGUCAGGGAUGGGUGAAGGUUCAGUUUGAGUUGUAUUUGAUGUGGAAGGUUGGUCAGAGGUUAAGUCUAUUAUAGUGGGUGAGUCUGGUUGUUGUUGUUGUUCUGUUGUUUGGUCAGAAGCUGUUUGGUCAGGAGCAACUUGUUCAGAAGCAGUUUGCUCCUGAACAGUUUGCUCAGGGAUGGUUUGGGUUUCUGUUUGGGUUUCCAAGACAGUCUUUUCAGAAACUGUCUUAGAGGCCUUAGUGGGUGUUGGUUGCAUUUCACCACCUAGAUGUUUUUCUAAGUUGUGAAGGGUUGAGGAUUCUUGGUGUUGGGGGGUUUCUGAAGUAGUUGCAUCUGAAGCUACUUCAGAGGCUUUUUGUGGAGUUUGGUUAUUUGGUGAGUUUGUUUGGGUAGGUUCAGGUUGUUGUAUACUAACAGGUUCUGGAGUAUCUGGAUAUAGUGGAUGAGUAGUAGGCAAAUUGAAUUUCUCACAAAGUUUUAUCCUAUUUUUUGAAAAUUCUAUUUGAGUACUCUCAUAGUCAAGUGUUCCAUACUCUGUUAGUUUGGUAGGUUUGGUUUUUAGAAGCUUGUUUAUAUGUUGGCUAAGGGGUUGGUCAUCUGAUUCUGUGGAUGAUGAAGAGGGUGAAGAGGGUAGAGAUAGAGACUGAGUAUUAGUUGGAGCUUUAGAUGGAUUACCUGAGGACUGAGCUUCUGGAUGAAUUGCUUCUGGAGCUUUUGAAGCUGGUUCUGAUGAAGUUGCUCCUGAAGCUUGCUUAUUCUUCAAGGCUUGAGAAAGCAGAGUUGCUCCAUACUGAACUGUUUCUUGCUCUAACUCAGAAGCUAAAGCAGCGAUGACAGGAGUAGGCACAUACCCUGCAGCCUUGAGACGCUCAUCCCUUUCUUUUUCAUACAACAUCUUCAUCCUUUUCUUUUCUGCUAUCUUGGAUGCAGAAACCUCCCUAGCAUACUGCCUCAUUUCUUCAGUCAUUUCAAAACUGGGCAUGACUAUGGGCUCAGAAGUUGCAGUCCUUUUUGCCUUCUUGGGGCUUGAGUCUUCAUCCCAAUUUUCUUCCAUUUCUUUCAACAUUUCUUCCCUUCUUCCUUCAGCUGUCUUCAGAUUUUUUGUUAAAUUAGACCUCUUCCUUUUGAUGGUCUGAAGAGCAGCUUCUCUUUUAUUUUUGGGACUUGAAGGCUUUUCAGAAGCAGCUUGAUCAGAAGCAGCUUGUUCAGAACCAGUUUGUUCAGAAGCAGGCUGUUCUGCUGUUUCUUGAGUACUCCUUGUCCUUUUUCUGAUAAGAGGGACAUCAUCCAAAUCCUCCACUUCCUCAAGAAUGGUGGACAUAGCAGAUUUUUCCUUCUUGGCUUUCUUAUGCUUCUGAGCAUCCACCUCAGUAGCAUCUUCAGCAAGGUAUUCUUCCUUGGUGAUCUGCUUCUUUUUAGAUUUUCUGCCUUUGGCCACAGGCAGAUCACCACCAUACAUUUCUUCUGGGAUAUCUUUCAGGCUGAUUUUCUUGUUGUAGUUCUUGUAGUAGUCUAAGAUGUAGGCCCUCUGCACAUCCAGGGGAUCUUUCUUGCAGAUAGGGAUGUGAUGAGUGACUAGAUCAGAUAUGACAUCAGAUUCAUGCAUAUCUGUAUCUAGUUUCCUGCAUGUUGAAAUCAGCCUCAUCUUGACUAAGGUUGCCCCAUUGAUUAUUUUUCCUGUGACUGCUCCCAACUUCUGAUUAUCAUAAAUACCCACGUCUUUCAGGGCACUUAGGAGUCCUCCUUCUUGAAAGAUUAUGGAGAGCAGCCUUCCAUAGGGAACAAACUUCCUGUUCUCCAUCUGGCUCUUCUUGAGUUCUUUGAUCAUGUAUUUAAACAUAUACUUAGGAACGUUCAUUGUUGUUUCCUGAGAGAUGGUGUGAUGCAGAAAGACUUUGUGACCAAGUGAAGGUUGAUCAUUUCCUCCACCUUUGGGAAAAAUGUUUUCAUUCUAGAUCUUCAGCAGCAUUUUCUUUUCCAUGCUUAAGGUGCUGUAAGGCUUAGCAUCCUUUGAUCCGUAGAUAGUGUUGUUUACUAUUUCCUUCCAAGGGCUUGUUCUGGGGUUAGGAAUCUCUUCUCCAUCGUAUGUCCCAGAAGCAUCUCUCCUCAUAGCUUGAGCAAUCACUUGCUCAUUGAUUGUUACAGGAAUCCCCAUGACGUUUGAUCUAAUCUCAGUCCCAGUGAAGGCGAGUAGACCCAUUUCUUCUCUGGUUUUUCCCUCCAAAGUAGGAUCAACCAGAAUCAUCUGAGCUUCUUCCUGUUUAGCAGCAACUUUGUCAAACACUGAAGCUCUUACCCAGAAUUGUCUGACAAGCACUUCAUAAGUAGGACCGUUGAGAAGACUGAAGUAACUCAUUAGCUUCUGCUUCUUGUAGAAUCUUACCAAGUCGCACCCAUGGUGAGUUAGAGAAGUGAAAUCCACAGGAUUUUCCGCUUGAAUGAUUAGCUCCCAUUCCUCAAUAGACAUAGUUCUUCCUUUGAUUUCAUAAGCAGGAGUAUCUAUAUCCAUAUUCGAUGAAGAACCACCGGCAGAACUUGAAGAUGCCAUUGAUUUGAAGUAGAAUUAGGGUUCUAAGGUGUUUUGAGAGGUUGAGAGAAUGUGCUUACUUACACAGAGGGUUGAGAGGAAAUAAGAAAGUGUUUGUUGUGAAGUGAGAAGUGUGUGAAAUGACUUAGUGUUUUUUAUUAAAACGUUUGUAAUUCAGAAGGGACAAACAAACACAACAUUAAUGACAAAUUGGGGGCGCGUGUAAGUAUGUUAAAAAGCGAAUAAAAACAUCAUUGCCCUUUUUGUUAUACUCCAAUACAAAUAGACCACGUCAGAGACUCUUCAGAAAACUACCUUUUGGGUAAUGGGACAGCUGUUACAUAAAGUAACUGCCAACGUUCCCACUAACCAAGCUUUUCAGAAGCAAAGAAUAACACUUCUGAAGUUUUAGUGCUGACGUCAUCUUCAGAAGCACAUUUUCCUCAGAACCUCAGUUAAGAGCUUCUGAUGAACCAAAAUGCUUCUGAAUAAACUUCAGAACCAAACUUCUUAUUCAGAGGCAAGCAAAUUUUCAAUCAGACACAAAAUGCAUGUUCAAAUUUUUCUUAAUAAAAUCAAAUCUUUCAACAGACAAAGGUUUUGUAAAUAUAUCAGCCCAUUGAUGUUCAGUAUCAAUGAAUUGUAUAUCUAAAAUUCCUUUUUGAACAUAGUCUCUGAUAAAAUGGUGUUUGAUUUCAAUAUGCUUGGCUCUUGAAUGUAGAAUUGGAUUCUUUGACAAACAAAUAGCAGCAGUAUUAUCACAAUAAAUGGGAAUACUGUUAGCAUUGAUCUGAUAGUCUUCCAACUGAUGUUUCAUCCAAAGUAGUUGUGUGCAACAACUUGCAGCUGAAAUGUACUCUGCUUCUGCUGUAGACAUAGCAAUAGUUGCUUGUCUUUUGCUUGCCCAGGAUAUCAGAUUCUCUCCCAGGAAUUGACAAUUUCCACUGGUUGAUUUUCUUUCAAUCCUAUCACCAGCAUAAUCAGCAUCACAGAAUCCAAUCAACUUAUAAUCUAGGGAUUUCCUAUACAGGAGUCCAAGAUUAGUUGUUCCUUUCAGAUACCUGAAGAUUCUCUUAACUGCAGUUAAAUGAGAUUCUCUAGGAUCUGAUUGAAAUCUUGCACACAAGCAUACACUGAAUAAAAUAUCAGGUCUAGAUGCAGUGAGGUAUAACAGAGAACCAAUCAUACCUCUGUAUAGCUUCUGGUCUACUACUGUUCCAGUAUCUUCUUUGCUUAAAGUGCAGGUUGGAUGCAUUGGAGUGUUCAUCACUUUACAAUCUUCUAGCUUGAACUUCUUCAGAAGCUCCUUUGUAUAUUUUGUUUGAUGAACAUAUACUCCUUCUUUACUUUGGUUGAUUUGAAUUCCCAGAAAGAAUUUCAAUUCUUCCAUCAUACUCAUUUCAAAUUCAUCCUGCAUUAACUUAGAAAAUUCUUUGCAAAGAGAUGCAUUAGUAGAACCAAAUAUUAUAUCAUCAACAUAUAUUUGCACAAUCAAAAUAUCUUUCUUAAGAGUCCUUCUGAAGAGUGUUGUGUCAACUUGUCCUCUUUCAAAAUCAUUUUUAAUUAAGAAAUUACUUAGUCUAUCAUACCAAGCUCUGGGAGCUUGUUUCAAGCCAUAUAGUGAUUUCUUAAGUUUAUAAACAUGGUCAGGAUGCUUAAGAUCCUCAAACCCAGGAGGUUGUUUAACAUACACUUCUUCUUCAAUGACACCAUUAAGAAAGGCACUUUUGACAUCCAUUUGAUAUAAUAUUAUGCCAUGAUUAAUUGCGUAGGAUAGAAGUAACCUGAUUGCUUCCAAUCUUGCAACUGGAGCAAAUGUUUCAGUGUAAUCAAUGCCUUCUUGUUGACUGUAGCCUUGAGCAACAAGUCUGGCUUUGUUUCUGGUUACUUCUCCUUGUUCAUUCAGCUUGUUUCUGAAUACCCAUUUUGUUCCAAUAAUGUUUUUCUGAAAAGGUUUGGGUACCAGAUCCCACACAUCAUUCCUUUGGAAUUGAUUUAGCUCUUCUUGCAUAGCUAAUAUCCAUCCAUCAUCUGUGAGAGCUUCUUCAACAGUUUUAGGCUCAAUUAUUGAAAGCAGUCCUAUUAAUGAUUCUUCUUGUCUAAAAUGUGAUCUUGUUCUUCUAGGACUAUCUUUGCUUCCAAUGAUUAGCUCCUCAGGAUGUGAAGAUUUGUGCUUGAAUUUAGGUUGAAUAACCUGCUGAGUGUUAUCUUGAAAGUCCUCAGAAGCAAUUUCAUUCUGUACUUUUGGGCUAUGUUCUGCUUCUGAAUUAGACUCAGCUUCUGGAGUGAUUUCAGUUUCUGGACUAGAUUCAACUUCUGUAUACUUUUCAGAUUCAGAAGGUUGAUCAGAUUCUGAUGCAUCUUCAGAAUCAGUUGUACCUGCAUUACUUUCACUUUGCUCUGAAGUUUUACUUUCAGGCUCUCUAUCAUCAAAUUUUACAUGCAUAGAUUCUUCAACACAUUGUGUUUCUGAAUUAUACACUCUGUAUGCCUUUGACCUUUCAGAGUAACCUAAAAAUAUUCCUCUUUGAGCCUUGACAUCAAAUUUCUUCAGAUAGUCUUUAGUGUUUAAGAUGUAACAAGUACAUCCAAACUGAUGAAAGUAAGAGAUAUUGGGUCUUCUUCCUUUAAAGAGUUCAUAUGCUAUUUUCUCCAACAUAGGUCUGAUAUAGAUCCUAUUUUGAAUAUAACAUGAAGUAUUGACUGCUUCUGCCCAAAAAUGUUUAGCUAAGUUGUUUUCAUGGAUCAUGGUUCUGGCCAUUUCUUGUAAGGUUCUGUUCUUUCUUUCUACAACCCCAUUUUGUUGUGGAGUUCUACGAGAAGAAAACUCAUGGUGAAUCCCAUGUUUUUCACAAAAAAGUUCAAAUGGCUCAUUUUCAAAUUCUCCACCAUGAUCACUUCUGACUUUCAAAAUUUUCAAUUCUUUUUCAGAUUGUAUUUGAGUGCAGAAGCUGCUAAACACUUCACAUGCAUAGUCUUUACUUUUAAUGAAUUUUACCCAAGUCCAUCUGCUGUAAUCAUCAACAAUGACUAAUCCAUAUUUACUUCCAUAUAAAGAUGCAGUGUUAACUGGACCAAAAAGAUCAAUAUGGAGUAAUUCUAAGGGUCUGGAGGUUGAUACAAUGUCUUUAGAUUUGAAAGAAUUUUUCACAAUUUUCCCUUUCUGACAUGCACCACAAAGUGCAUCUGAAUGAUAAUCAAUGUUAGGCAAUCCUUUGACCAGUUGUAACUUGCUAAUUUUAGAAAUUAAUCUCCAAUUAGCAUGUCCCAACCUUUUAUGCCAUACCCAUUUUUUAUCAUUCAUUGACAGAAGGCAAACUACCUUCUGAUCAGCCAGAUCAGAGAAAUUUAUUUUAUAGACAUUCUCAACUCUCUUUCCCUUGAAUGUAAUGGAUUUGUCAUCCUUGUUGACUAGUGUGCAGUUGGUCUUACUGAACGUUACAUCAUACCCAUUGUCACAAAAUUGACUAAUGCUCAAUAGGUUAUGCUUCAUACCAUCUACUAGCCACACAUUAUUAAUUGAGAUGGAGGAAUUACCAAUAGUACCUGUACCAAUGAUCUUUCCAGUUUGGUUGCCACCAAACUUCACUUCUCCUCCAUCUUUCAUUGUAAGGGUAAGGAACAAAGCUUUCUCUCCAGUCAUGUGCCUUGAACAUCCGCUGUCUAGGUACCAUGACCUUUGUUUCUCUCUUGCCCUUAAGCACACAUCAUUUUCAUCUUCUGAAUCUGAUUCAGCUUCUGAUACUGUUUCUGAUGAUACUGCUGCCACUAACCCAACGGCUGCCUUAGCAUCAUCAUCAGCUUCUUCUUUAUCAGAACCAGAUUCACUAUCCAAAUCUUCCCAGGUCGCCAUCAAGCUCUUUUUGAUUUGCUUUCUGAAUUUACUGGAGUUGAAGCUUGAUUUCUUGGAUUUGCCUUUAAACUUCUCCUUCUGAAGAUCAGGGCAAUCAGCAAUGAAAUGACCAGGCUUCUUACAAUUGAAGCAUCCCUUCUGAUCUUCUUUCUUGAAGUUCUUGUAGCUACCUCUCUUGCUCAAAAAUUUCUUCUGCUUCCUUGCCAGAUACUCAAGCUUGUUGGACAGCAUAGCCAUCUUUACAGAUUGAUCUUCAUCAGAAUCUCCAUCAGGUGAUUCUUCUUCAGAUUCACUGGCUUUGUAGGCUUUGGAAGACUUUGAGGUCUUUCCUUUAGAUGGUAAAGCAAUGGAUUUACUCUUCUUAGAGGUUUCAUGCUCAUUUAGACUCAUUUCAUGCACUUUGAGUGAGCUAACAAGAUCUUCAACACUUAAAGUAUUUAGAUCCUUAGCUUCCUCAAUGGCAGUUACUUUGGGUCUCCAUCUUGAAGGUAGGCUUCUCAAAAUCUUACUAACAUGAUCAGAAGAAACAUAGCUUUUCUUCAGUAUUUGCAAUCCAGAAACUAAAGUUUGAAAUCUUGAGUACAUUUCUUCUAUACUCUCAUCAUCCUUCAUUCUGAAAAGUUCAUACUGAUGAACUAGCAUCAAAGCUUUAGCCUCUUUUACUUUCUUGCUGCCUUCAAAGUUUGCACAAAGAGAAGCAAACAUAGCUUUCGCAGUAGAUUUGUCACUCAUUUUCAUGUAUUCGGUGCGAGGUAUAGAAGCCACAAUGAUUCCUCUUAUCUUGUGGUGUUUCUUAUAAAGCUUCUUCUGAGCAGGAGUAUGUAUUCUUCUGUCUAUAGCAGCUCCUUCUUCAUCCAAAUCCAGAUCAUCAACUCCAUCUUCCAGUAUAUCCCAUAGCUCUUCAUCCAAUCCCAUGAUAAAGCUGUACAUAUUAGUUUUCCACCAUGAAAACUCUUCUGGAUCUCCAUUAAACUUUGGAGCUUUUCCAGAGUCUGUUUUCUUGUCAGCAGUAUCAUAGUCAUGCUUGACACUUGUGUAUUUUGUAGUAACUGAUUCCUCAUCUCCAGACAUGUUUUUCUAAUAGAUCUUGAACUGUAACACGGUUAAGUGCUGUGAUAACAGAGCAAGCUCUGAUACCAAUUGAAGGUGAAAAACACAAGAAGGGGGGGGGGGGGGGGGGUUGAAUUGUGUUUUCUUUUUCUCUUAAAAAGGGAUUCUUCUUCUGAUAAAACUUCAGAAGCAGUUUGAUUGCUUCUGAUGAAAUGAUCAGAGUCAGAUUGCAGCGGAAAAGAACAGAGCAGAGAAAAGAAAGACAAAGACACAAGCAGUUAUCCUGGUUCCUUCCACAACACGGAAGUAGUCCAGUCCCCCUUGCACUUCCAAGGAGAUUUCACUAUAAUCACAAAGAUUACAACUGCUCAAUACUUUCUAAGUAUGAGACUUCACAAAAAUGCUCAAGCACACACGCAAGAGUCUUCCAAUGCUCAAGCACUAAGCAAGAGACUUCUAAUGCUCAAGCACGCAGGCAAGAGACUUCUAAUCAAACAAAAAUACAGAGAAUUGAGUUUGAAUUGAACACUUGAUAUACAAUCAGUGGUGUUCACAAUGCAAUACAGAAAAGACUCUAGACUUUGAAUUUCUAAGAUGUAUCAAAUCAGUGCAGAAAUUCAGUGUGCUUUGUAGAAUCAAAUUGACAGAGUUUUGGCGCUUUUGAACUUAUGUAUCUCUCUCUGUUAUCUUCAAGUCUUCACUCCUUUAUAUAGAGGCGUGAAAGAGACGUUGAGAUAAUCAGCACGUCUAAAGAGUCGUUUGAAAUCCUUUGAUUAUCCACCAGUGAUCCUUUGCCUGAUUUGGGUGUAGUCCUUUGAAGAAUAAACUUCAAAUUCAUUCCCAUCUUGAGUGUACAAUUCUGCAGGCAUGGCUGUUGUUUUGUCUUGUAGCGUAGACAGAAAACAGAGUAGUGGAGGUAGUGGUUGUACACUUGUACUUUGUCAACUCUAUUAACGAGAGACAAGAGCUCAGUGCUAUCCAUAUAUCCGUUGAUACCUCCCUUUCAAUUCUUCGUUCUUCUUUGAUAAGACUGAAUUGAAAAUCAGCUACUUUGAAUCUUCAGUUUGAUUAAAGGAUCAAAUGUAGCUUCUGGUGAAGAUAUUGCUUCUGAUGAAAACUUUUGCUUCUGAUGACUUUCUGCUUCUGAUGACGUCAUCUCUUCAGGAGCAGUUUAGCUUCAGGAGCAGUUUUCUUCAGAUGCUCAGAAUUUCUUUUUCUUUCCAUUGUUCUUCCAAGACCUAUUGAAAUAACUUGAGUAGCCUUUGGUCCUGUACACUUGAACAAUUAUUAGUAAUAACCAAUUGACAAUUUUUAAUACCUUGUUAUCAUCAAAACUUAAUAAGGUUCAUUGUGAAACACAUUUUGUUCCAACACCAUGUCUCUCUGUCACCAACCUCCAGCACCACUUCCCCAGCAAUUCUAAGUUAAAUUCCCUAAUUCUCCUCACCCUCAAACCACCAACCUCAUUAUCCAAACAAAUAGUAUUCCAAUGAAUCCAAGAAAUUUUCCUAUUAUCCUCACAUCCUCCAAAAAAAAAAAACAAAUAAAAAGAUAUUCGAUAGAGGAGCUUGUUGUUGGCGCCUUUUUGGAACUGCGGCGGAUUCUGCGCAACCUCCAACAAAGCUACCAAGGUACUCAACUUCUCUAACUCGCCCCGCAGUGUUGUCACCUCUUCACGAAGCUCGUGGAUUUCUUGCUCGAUCGUAUCCAUUUCCUUUUUAGUGUUUGCAUGAGUAUUGUAGGUGCGAGUUGGCUUAGGGUGAGGACGUCGAGCCACUUUCGAGGCAGAUUGACCUUUUGUAUGAAAGAGCAAUAUGUGAGACUCAGACCUUUGAAACUAUGAAUUCAUAAUGAUGCAUGAUUUUUAUGAAAAAAGGACAAUUUUAUUUAUUUUUGAAGGACUUUCAAAGCAUUUGUGAACAUCACAGAGAACCUUGUUUUAUUUAACAAUUUUUUAGGUUUACAAUCAGUUCCUUUUUUAGAAGCAAAAAAAAAAACGCUAGGAAAAGAAGUCCCUAACAAAAGCUAAAGUCUAGUUAAGACUUUUGAAGAUGUAUUUCUUGGUGCUCCUUUUUACAAGGUCCAUAUAUGUGAUGUUUACAAGACGACUUAUCUAAGUCCUUCGAUAUUAAUGAGAAUUUUUUUUGAAUGCAUGCAUGCAUGAUAAUGCAACAAAAACAUUGAAAACAUGGUUUAUGGUUUAGGCCCAUGGUGAUGGACUCAAGGGUAAGAGCCCCCAUAUGGUAAGGACUAUGGUUUCAUUUGUUGCUGCAUUAUGGGUUCUACCAAGUUCCCAAAGUCAUUGACCCUUUCCGGAUAUCAUUGGCUUACAAGACUGACUUCUGGUCCAACAAUAUUCGCAAGAGAAUCUAUGCAGCUCGACUGAUCUCAUUUUCUUUUUCUGGAUCUUCGAGAUGUACGUUGUGAAAUGAAUCUUAGACAUUUUCAUGAAUAAAUUUUUUUGCACUAAAUCAAUAUCCUUUUGUAAAAUAGGGCAGUUUUGUAAAAUAUUCGCAGAUUGUACAUGCUCAAGAAUAGGGAUCAAAUCCCAUUUAAUAUUUUCGCCAAUCAUCGCAUAUGUUGCAUUAAACAAAGACAUAUGGAAUGAAGUGCUUACCUUGGUUUGGUCAACUUGCUUUUCGACUUCACUUCCUUUCUCCAUAGUUUAAUCCACAUUAAUCAAUUGCUGCUUCAUGUGAUCAACUGGUUUCGACGUGAUGUAUGUGUCCAUGUUGACCACUUUCUUUGGUACAUCUUGCUACAAAAGUUUCUUUGAUGUUGGCUAAUCUUUAUCGAAAGGUUUCUUCCUGAGAACAAUUGUUUGUGGGGAUGGAUUCAUUUGCAAGUCGAAACGGAACGACCUAUGACAUGGUAAUGAGACCAACAUUCAAGGAGUCGGUCGUAAGUUACUUGUCAUAAAAAUUGUAUCCAUAUCCAUUAAAAUUCUUGCAUAGUGACCGAAAAGUUUGUUCUGUUUGUAUCGUCUAGAUUUAAUAGUGUGCCAACGACACUAGCAAUUUUGAAGAGCAUCUGAUCCUACCAAUAUUCUUGUGGCAAAUAAAUUAAACGGAUCCAAACCCGUACAUGAGUUUGACAUUGAGUAAUAAGAUUAAAGUCCUCUUGCCGUUGCAAUAUUUGAUGGACACCCGAUUUAAGAUUCAUAGUGUUCCUAGCUCAUACUAAACAUAAAUCUUCAUAGUUUGAAAACUUAAAAUCAUAAAACCCACGUGUGAGAGAAAUCAUUUCCCAUCGCCAUGUAGUAUUUCACAGCUUGGAAAGCUUAAGCAUCAAAUCCUUCACGCUAUACGACUUAUCUCCUUUGUGACUCUAAAAUGAAAAGCUAUUAGAAAUAAUUUUUCACAAUUUUAUUUUUUUUUUGAAAUGUUAACUAGUGCCUUCGGGGCACUAGUUAAAGACUACAAGUGGUAAGUAUUUAUGAAAAUGUGUGUAUUAAUUGCAUUGGAAAUUGAAAUAUUUGAUUUUUUUUAAAAUAAUUGUUUAUAUUAGUAUGCUUAAAGAGUGACCCGAAGGCACUCGUUAACAAGACUCUCCAAAACAAGGAGAUAACACGUGUACAAACUAAAACUUUUUUUUAAAUGAUUUUUAUGGUUAAUAUGUUGGAACAAAAUGUGUUUAACACUACCCUUUAGAGUUUUGAUGAUAACAAGGUAUUAAAAAUUGUCAAUUGGAUAUGCUAAUAUUUGUUCAACUGUGCAGGACCAUAGACAAAAAUUUAAUGUCUCUUUGAAGCUUAGAUUCUGGAAGAACAAAUGAGAGCAAUGGAAUCAACAAGAUGGAAGCUUGAAGCAUCUGAAGAAAAGAGGUUCUGAAGUCAAGUGCUCCUGAAGUGAUGAUGUCAUCAGAAGCAAGUUCAUUAGAAGCACCUCAUCAAAAGCAUUAUCACCAGAAGCAGUUUUUCAUCAGAAGCUGAAGAUCAUCAGAAGAUGAGAGAAUUAAAGCUUCAAAGGCUGUUCAAAAUAUUUAAUCAUCAGAAGUCAAAAGAGUGAAGCAACGGCUAAUUCAAAAGGAUUUGAAUGCAUUAGAUGUUUGUUCUUUGAAGAGCGUUGAAAAAGGACAAUUGUACGAAGUGUACAACCACUACUCUCUUUGUGUCUACAUCAGGACAAGAAUAACAGCUAUGCCUGCAACGAUGUUCCUCCAUACUUGGAAUGGAUUUGAAAUUGAUCCUUCAUAGUAUAAUAACCAAAUCGGGAAAAAGAUCAUUGGUGAUUUGAUCAAGCUUCAAACGACUCUUUUUGAUGUGUUGGGAAUUCACAACGUCUCUUUCACACCUCUAUAUAAAGGAGUGAAGACUUAGAGAAUGACAAGACUCAUACAACAAUUUACAAGUGUCAAAACUCUGUCAAAAUUGUUCUGCAUCAAAAGUUCACUUAGAAUUUCUUAACAACUUUCAUAUCUUAGAAAUUCUAUAGUCUUAAGAGUCUGUAUCUGAUUUGUAUUGUGAAUACCACUAAUUGUAUAUCAAGUGUUCAACCUCAAACAUAUUUAUUUGCAAUUCUAUUUGAAUAGAAGUCUCUUGCUUUUGUGCUUGAGUAUAGAAAGUCUCUUGAUUUAGUUCUUGAGCAUAGGAAAUCUCUUUCAGUCUUGAGUAGUUUGAAGUCUCUUGGUAGUUUUAGCAGUGAGCAAUUGUAAUCAAAUAUUACAUUUUUAGUGGACUCUCCUUGGAAGUGCAAGAGGAAUAUGACUACUUCCGGUUUGUGGAAGGAACCUCUAUAAUUGCUUUGUGUCUUUCUUCUCUCUCUCUCUCUCUCUCUCUCUCUCUCUCUCUCUCUAUCUUUUUAUCCGCUGCAUUUAGAAUCUGAACAUCACUUCAAAAGCUGAAUUCUAUCUGCUUCUGAUCAGUGACUUCAGUAGGAAAAAACUAACACAAUUCAACCCCUCCACUACUCUCUUUGUGUCUACAUCAGGACAAGAAUAACAGCUAUGCCUGCAACGAUGUUCCUCCAUACUUGGAAUGGAUUUGAAAUUGAUCCUUCAUAGUAUAAUAACCAAAUCGGGAAAAAGAUCAUUGGUGAUUUGAUCAAGCUUCAAACGACUCUUUUUGAUGUGUUGGGAAUUCACAACGUCUCUUUCACACCUCUAUAUAAAGGAGUGAAGACUUAGAGAAUGACAAGACUCAUACAACAAUUUACAAGUGUCAAAACUCUGUCAAAAUUGUUCUGCAUCAAAAGUUCACUUAGAAUUUCUUAACAACUUUCAUAUCUUAGAAAUUCUAUAGUCUUAAGAGUCUGUAUCUGAUUUGUAUUGUGAAUACCACUAAUUGUAUAUCAAGUGUUCAACCUCAAACAUAUUUAUUUGCAAUUCUAUUUGAAUAGAAGUCUCUUGCUUUUGUGCUUGAGUAUAGAAAGUCUCUUGAUUUAGUUCUUGAGCAUAGGAAAUCUCUUGCAGUCUUGAGUAGUUUGAAGUCUCUUGGUAGUUUUAGCAGUGAGCAAUUGUAAUCAAAUAUUACAUUUUUAGUGGACUCUCCUUGGAAGUGCAAGAGGAAUAUGACUACUUCCGGUUUGUGGAAGGAACCUCUAUAAUUGCUUUGUGUCUUUCUUCUCUCUCUCUCUCUCUCUCUCUCUCUCUCUCUCUCUCUAUCUAUCUAUCUUUUUAUCCGCUGCAUUUAGAAUCUGAACAUCACUUCAAAAGCUGAAUUCUAUCUGCUUCUGAUCAGUGACUUCAGUAGGAAAAAACUAACACAAUUCAACCCCCCCCCCCCCCCCCUCCGGGUGUGUUUUUCUCACCUUCAUAAUAAACAAACAAAAAUAUCUUCAAAUCUUUAUUAAGAUCUCAAAAAAAAUCUCUAGAUUCUCUGCAUAUAAAAUCUGCUGUUUUUUUAAAAGUUAAAGCAAACACAUCCUAAAUCUAAAAUAACUGUUGCACAUGGGAAUCAUUUUUUCAAGACAGCGCUCUGCCCCAGCAAAGCGUUCUCUCCAAACAAAAGAUGAUCAACUUUUUUGAAAUCAUACGUGAAAUAUAGAAUUAUAAUGAAGAAUUCAUCUAUAUGAUCGUAAAGUGUCUUUAUUUAUUAUAGUAGGUAAUUAUGAUUACACUAUUGUUUUCCAUUUCUUCUAUGAGUUCAUGAUGACAACAUAGUUGCAUAAUAUAACAAUACAUAUGUUUUUUUCAUUGAAAUUGACAACUUAAUCUAUAUCGUACUCAGAAGUGCAUUGACAAGUUAAAUUAAUGCACUUCAGAGUUAGAUCAGUUGGACACAUAUCUGGUGGACAUUCAGGGGUAAAUAGGCAUGGAGGAGCAUCUGGGAGGCCUAACAAGAACAAAAUAAAUGUUAAUAUAGAUGAUGGAAUAUUAUAUAUAAGUUAAAUUAUAAUUUUGAAAAUGAUUUAAAACAUUACUCACUUC